rnacentral:rRNA from 1 species
CCUACGGGUGGCUGCAGUGAGGAAUAUUGGUCAAUGGACGCAAGUCUGAACGAGCCAUGCCGCGUGCAGGAUGACGGCUCUAUGAGUUGUAAACUGCUUUUGUACGAGGAUAAACCCCGAUACGUGUAUCGGGUUGAAAGUAUCGUACGAAUAAGGAUCGGCUAACUCCGUGCCAGCAGCGGCGGUAAUACGGAGGGGCGGAGCGUUACCCGGAUUGAUUGGGUUUAAAGGGUGCGUAGGCGGUUCGGUAAGUUAGAGGUGAAAUGUCUGGGCUAAACCCAGAAACUGCUUCUAAUACUGUUGGACUAGAGAAUAGUUGCGGUAGGCGGAAUGUAUGGUGUAGCGGUGAAAUGCUUAGAGAUCAGACAGAACACCGAUUGCGAAGGCAGCUUACCAAACUAUAGCUGACGUUGAGGCACGAAAGCGUGGGUAGCAAACAGGAUUAGAUACCCGAGUAGUC